rnacentral:rRNA from 1 species
AGUGAACGCUGGCGGUAGGCCUAACACAUGCAAGUCGAACGGCAGCACAGGAGAGCUUGCUCUCUGGGUGGCGAGUGGCGGACAGGUGAGGAAUACAUCGGAAUCUACUCUGUCGUGGGGGAUAACGUAGGGAAACUUACGCUAAUACCGCAUACGACCUACGGGUGAAAGCAGGGGACCUUCGGGCCUUUCGCGAUUGAAUGAGCCGAUGUCGGAUUAGCUAGUUGGCGGGGUAAAGGCCCACCAAGGCGACGAUCCGUAGCUGGUCUGAGAGGAUGAUCAGCCACACUGGAACUGAGACACGGUCCAGACUCCUACGGGAGGCAGCAGUGGGGAAUAUUGGACAAUGGGCGCAAGCCUGAUCCAGCCAUACCGCGUGGGUGAAGAAGGCCUUCGGGUUGUAAAGCCCUUUUGUUGGGAAAGAAAUCCAGCUGGCUAAUACCCGGUUGGGAUGACGGUACCCAAAGAAUAAGCACCGGCUAACUUCGUGCCAGCAGCCGCAGUAA